rnacentral:misc_RNA from 1 species
CUCGAUAAGGACUGCAGACCGCAUCCAGGGACGGUGGCGUGGGUGUCUCCAGCGUGCCCGGAGCUGCUCCCAAGGAAAGGGGGAGAGUUGCGGCAUCCACAGCGGCAGUGCUGUUUCGUGUCUCGUUAUACAGCACGCACAUGCUGGUGUGUGUGUGCGUGUGGCGCUGCACUUGCGACUCGCAUCUCCGCCGCUACAUCUGCUUGCGCUUCCUUCGAGCACAUACUAGAAACACAUCACAGGACACUUUACAUACUCUUCAUGGCCGCCUCCGAUUCCGUGCUGGAUGAGACAGCGUGGACUUCCGCGUGUGCAACGGGUACGGUGCUGGGGUGUGCGGUGGCGUUCUUCUGUGCGGCCAUCGUGCAGCGGCUGACAAGCCGCCACGCGGCAUCGAAAGAAGCGGUCGCGUCACCGCUAUUGUCGCGACGAGAUCGAGCCGCCAAGCUGCUGGAGGAGUUGCACAGGCAAUCUGCUACUGCCGCUACUGGCCAUGCACAUGCGGCAGAAGGUGCGGCUUCCGACAAGGACAGCUGGAAGUCGGCAACGAGCGGCAGCUCCGACGAGAGCAGCGACACCAUGGAUGUAGACAGCGAGUACGAGCAGAUGGAGGCGCUGCGGCUCAAGAUGGUCUUCGUCGUGAGCAGCAGAGUGCAGCCGAAGAUUACAGCACAGGAAGUGGCUGUGCUCACGGCGUCGGCCGGCGUCCAGUUAGUCGAGCUGCUCCAGCAGGAGACGAAGCUGAGCGCAGCUGUGAGCGUGCCAGCAUCCGAGUCUUUGUGUGCAGCAGACUCACAGGAUCAUCAGCGCUGGCGCCAUUGGUACCUGUGGUGGAACCGUAUUGGCUGCGGCAAGAUCACGCUAAAGUGCCCCGACAAGGACACGAUGGAGCUCGUCGUGGCUACGGCACGAAAGCAUCGACUGCCGAUGGCGAUGGCCCGGCGGUCAGAGACGGCUGUCACCGGAGGUGAGCAGGUCGAAAUAGUGGCAAAACCCUCCGACGUUGUUGUAGUGGCGCUGGGUCCAGCCCCGUCGGAUGUACUCGAACCGAUCACCGGCUCGUUGAAGCUCUUUUCGUAAUGGAAUGCGCGCAGCUCGCUCUUUUGUAACGUCUGCCGUCGUCUCUGCGCUGGCACUCCGCUGACCUGUUUACACAUAAAACUCUAUCCUCCCUGGGUGGACGUGACGUUGUGCUACUCCAUCAUACGCUGAUUAUGGGCGUCUCAUGCGACGGGAAAAC